GUCCAGCAGACGAAACCCAAAUAGGACGAAACGCUCGUCCUGUAU
rfam:Schistosoma haematobium scaffold1561_5, whole genome shotgun sequence.